AACGCAUAUGGCACCCCUUGGCGCAUGCCGCGGGGUAUGCCUGUUUGAGAAUCAUUUCACCACCUCUGACCGGUGCUGCACCGGCGGGACCUGGGCCUUCAGCACUGAUCGCCCCGAAUGCACGUGCGCGGUCGUGAUAGCAUCGUUGUUGAUCGACCGGGCACACCUUGUCGAUGAUCUCAAAUCAGGCAGGACGACCCGCUGAACUUAA
rnacentral:misc_RNA from 1 species